rnacentral:snoRNA from 1 species
AAACCAUGGUGUGGGCAUUGAGCUUGGUAGCCCUUGAAUCUCCCCCAGGCUUCACUGAAUCCUUCCAAGUUCUUCUGUUAAAAUCUGGAAAUCUCAUUUCUCAACUU